GAUGAAGAACGCAGCGAAAUGCGAUAAGUAAUGUGAAUUGCAGAAUUCAGUGAAUCAUCGAAUCUUUGAACGCACAUUGCGCCCGCUAGUAUUCUGGCGGGCAUGCCUGUCCGAGCGUCAUUUCAACCCUCAAGCCCCCGGGCUUGGUGUUGGGGAUCGGCGAGCCUCCGCGCCCGCCGUCCCCUAAAUCUAGUGGCGGUCUCGCUGUAGCUUCCUCUGCGUAGUAGCACACCUCGCACUGGGAAACAGCGCGGCCACGCCGUUAAACCCCCAACUUCUGAACGUUGACCUCGGAUCAGGUAGGAAUACCCGCUGAACUUAAGCAUAUCAAUAAGCGGAGGA
rnacentral:misc_RNA from 1 species